rnacentral:lncRNA from 1 species
GCCUUGAUGACACAAAAUAGAGAAGGUUUAAACAAGUUUAACAUGAGAUUAAUAUGUAUUAUGUCAUACAUCAAGAGGUCAAUAUGUCUUAUGUCAUACAUCUAGAGGUCAAUAUGUCUUAUGUCAUACAUUCAGAGGUCAAUAUGUCUUAUGUCAUACAUCUAGAGCUCAAUAUGUCUUUGUCAUGCAUCUAGUGGUCAAUAUGUCUCAUGUCAUACAUCUAGAGAUUAAUAUGUCUUAUUUUAUACAUCUAAAACUCAAUAUGUCCUUUGUCAUGCAUUUAGUAGUCAAUAUGUCUCAUGUCAUACAUCUAGAGCUCAAUAUGUCUUAUGUCAUACAUAUAGUGGUCAAUAUGUCUUAUGUCAUACAUAUAAUAGGUCAAUAUGUCUUAUAUCAUACAUCUAGAGCUCAAUAUGUCUAAUGCCAUACAUCUAAUGGUCGAUAUGUUUGAUGUCAUAGAAUUAAGCAUGAUACACCACUUUUCUUUAUUUAUUAGUGCCAAGAGUAAAC